AUGUACAACAUAACUGGCAGGUGUGGCGGACCGAGGGCAAAAGUUACACCUGAUUGUAUUACAUGUGAUUAGGGCUGUGGCACGAGCACACCUGUGUAAGGUCGAUAGUUCCCAACCUCAUAUUCUUCUGUGUCGAGUCCUAACAAUGAAGGCAACUCUGCUCGUUGUGCUGGUGUAAUGCGUGUGUAGCGGCUGUCAUGUCUUUUCCACAACCGGAGGAAAAGAAGGACGAAGGUGGUUGGGCGGUGAGGACAGACACCACGAGGAACGGCGGCACUGUGGUGCGGGUUGACAGUAACAAGAAAUGGGACCGUCACAGACGACGGUAGGGUACAAGCGGAGGUUCACGGCCACUGGGAGAGGACUUACGGAGGCCCCAACGAUGGCCAGAGAAACCGCGGCGUGGGUGGCAGCAUUGGAGGCUCCUGGGUGAAAUGAUUUUAUCUCUGGUCUUAAGAAGGAUCAUAAAGCGGCAGCCAAACAUUUUUCUUUUGUAUUAUGUAAAUAUUUCCUGCAGAAACAAUUGUGUAUCUAAUGUACAGUGUAAAUACAAUUAAUUAUAUGAAAA